rnacentral:lncRNA from 1 species
UGGGGUAUUGAAACAACCGAAGCCAAAAAAGUAAGAUUAGGUAAAAUAAGCGACUUAACAACUGUUAUUCGUCCUAUCAUGGUUAAAUUUCUUUUUUCCCAAUCAAGUAUUAAUUUUUUUGUCUGUUUCAUUGUUUUUUCAAUAUUUAAUUUGUCACAUUCACUUUUAUCUAAUCCAAAGUAAACACCUAGACUUUUAAUUGGUUCUUUGCUCCAGUGUAUAUUUUCAAUUUUUUCUUUACAAUGUUUAAGUCUACCUAACCAUAUACCUUCUGUUUUAGAUUUAUUCAGUUUCAAACCAGAAAG